rnacentral:rRNA from 1 species
CUGGCUCAGAACGAACGCUGGCGGCAGGCCUAACACAUGCAAGUCGAACGAAGCCUUCGGGCUUAGUGGCGGACGGGUUAGUAACGCGUGGGAACGUGCCCUUCUCUACGGAAUAGGCCCGGGAAACUGGGUUUAAUACCGUAUACGCCCCUUCGGGGGGAAAGAUUCAUCGGAGAAGGAUCGGCCCGCGUCUGAUUAGAUAGUUGGUGGGGUAACGGCCUACCAAGUCGACGAUCAGUAGCUGGUUUGAGAGGAUGAUCAGCAACACUGGGACUGAGACACGGCCCAGACUCCUACGGGAGGCAGCAGUGGGGAAUCUUAGACAAUGGGCGCAAGCCUGAUCUAGCCAUGCCGCGUGAGUGACGAAGGCCCUAGGGUC